CUCUGACAAUCAUUGAUAAUACAUUAGUAUCAGAAACUUCAAGCAGCAUAACAAUAUCAAGCUCUACUUCAGCCACAUCACAAUCAACAUGUACAGGAUCCAUCAUCAGUUCUGUUGCUAUUGCAGUACCUAUC